rnacentral:lncRNA from 1 species
CCCGCCGCGGCUGGUCCCUUCUCGCAACCGGAGCCGCAGCAUCUGCCGCAAGCACCUCCGCCUCCUGCCUCCGAUGGCCACCCGGCCGACGCGCCGCCGGCCGGGCACUCCGUUCGGUGGCUCGCCGCCGCGGGCUUCGCCUUCCUCAUCUUCAACUCCGGGAUGGCCGUCCACCGCUCCCGGGGCGACCUCGGUGCCAUCGCGUUCGUCGCGUUUUCGCACCUCGACCUCCUCGCACUGUUCCUCUGCCUCCGGCGGUACGAGGGCGCCCGCCCCGGCUCGCCGCUCCGGGAUCAGCUGAGGAUGGCCAUCUGGCUCCUCACCUCGGCGCUCACGCUGAUGUUCUCGUCCAAAGUCGCCGCCGUGGUUCCCGGCGCCGUCGCCGCCGUGGUUUGGCUCGUUGCGUUUGGAACGGUCGCCGGCGGUUUCUAUGCACUCUUCUUCUGCGGCAACGAGGACAAG